GUGUUCCUACGGGGGGCAGCAGUGGGGAAUAUUGCACAAUGGGGGAAACCCUGAUGCAGCGACGCCGCGUGAGCGAUGAAGUAUUUCGGUAUGUAAAGCUCUAUCAGCAGGGAAGAAAAUGACGGUACCUGACUAAGAAGCCCCGGCUAACUACGUGCCAGCAGCCGCGGUAAUACGUAGGGGGCAAGCGUUAUCCGGAUUUACUGGGUGUAAAGGGAGCGUAGACGGCGGCGCAAGCCAGAUGUGAAAGCCCGGGGCCCAACCCCGGGACUGCUCUUGGAACUGCGUGGCUGGAGUGCAGGAGG
rnacentral:rRNA from 1 species